rnacentral:rRNA from 1 species
UACGUAGGGCGCAAGCGUUGUCCGGAAUUAUUGGGCGUAAAGAGCUCGUAGGCGGUUUGUCGCGUCUGCUGUGAAAGCCCGGGGCUCAACCCCGGGUCUGCAGUGGGUACGGGCAGACUCGAGUCCGGUAGGGGAGUGUGGAAUUCCCGGUGUAGCGGUGAAAUGCGCAGAGAUCGGGAGGAACACCCGUAGCGAAGGCGGCACUCUGGGCCGGUACUGACGCUGAGGAGCGAAAGCGUGGGGAGCAAACAGG